UACGUGAGGGUGCAAGCGUUGUCCGGAAUUGUUGGCGUAAAGAGCUCGUAGGCGGCUUGUCGCGUCUGCUGUGAAAACCCGAGGCUCAACCUCGGGCCUGCAGUGGGUACGGGCAAGCUAGAGUGCGGUAGGGGAGAUUGGAAUUCCUGGUGUAGCGGUGGAAUGCGCAGAUAUCAGGAGGAACACCUAUAGCGAAGGCAGCUUGCUGGGACGUUACUGACGCUAAGGCGCGAAAGCGUGGGGAGCGAACAGG
rnacentral:rRNA from 1 species